ACCGAACAAGGUCAAAAAGUCAUACACAGCAACUCCUUUGGGUUUUCGUUUUGUUUUGUCAACACCUUUUAUGUAAAUAUGGAAUGAGGCAUAAAAACCGCAAAAGGGCUUGUUGACGCACAACCUGCUGAUCAUCACCCAUCAAUAAUUCAACAUUUAACAGUGCAGUCCAUGAUCUGACACACAGUUUUGUUUUCCCUGAAUCCCCCCUUUGAUUCACAGUAAUUAACUAACUGUGCUACUUGAUUAGUUUUCCCUAAUGUGACUCCAAAAUAAUCGAUUCAAUGAGAUGAAAAUGGCAAUAAACCAUUCCAAUCUGAGGAUGAAAAGGGAAACAUUCAGCUCCAUCAGCUGUCAACUUCU
rnacentral:lncRNA from 1 species